rnacentral:rRNA from 1 species
UACGUAGGGUGCAAGCGUUGUCCGGAAUUAUUGGGCGUAAAGAGCUCGUAGGCGGUCUGUCGCGUCGGCUGUGAAAACUCGGGGGCUCAACCCCGAGCCUGCAGUCGAUACGGGCAGACUAGAGUGCUGUAGGGGGAGACUGGAAUUCCUGGUGUAGCGGUGAAAUGCGCAGAUAUCAGGAGGAGCACCGGGUGGCGAAGGCGGGGUCUCUGGGCAGUAACUGACGUGAGGCGCGACAGCGUGGGGGAG